rnacentral:rRNA from 1 species
AUUGAACGCUGGCGGCAGGCCUAACACAUGCAAGUCGAACGAGUGGCGGACGGGUGAGUAAUGUCUGGGAAACUGCCUGAUGGAGGGGGAUAACUACUGGAAACGGUAGCUAAUACCGCAUCCCAUCGGAUGUGCCCAGAUGGGAUUGGCUAGUAGGUGGGGUACAGGCUCACCUAGGCGACGAUCCCUAGCUGGUCUGAGAGGAUGACCAGCCACACGGGAACUGAGACACGGUCCAGACUCCUACGGGAGGCAGCAGUGGGGAAUAUGGGACAAUGGGCGCGAGCCUGAUGCAGCCAGGCCGCGUGUAAUAAGAAGGCCUUCGGGUUGUAAAGUACGUUCAGCGGGGAGGCGUUACCCGCAGAAGAAGCACCGGCUAACUCCGUGCCAGCAGCCGCGGUAAUUC